CUCAGGGGGAAUUGGGUUUUUUUACAUACAACUGAGUUUUCGCUUACACGUUCUUUAAUUUCUUUUAAUUCCUGUUUCAUCACCAGGCUGGAAUGUAGUGGUGCAAUAACAGCUCACUGUAGCCUCGACCUCCUGGGCUCAAGCCAUCCCCAACCUCACCCUCCCGAGUAGCUGGGACCACAGGCGUGUGCCACCACACUCAGCUAAUUUAUUUAAAACAAUUUUUUUUAGAGAUGAGGUCUCCCUUUGUUGCCCAGCUGGUCUGAAAUUCCUGGUUUCAAGUGACCCUCACACGUCAGCCUCCUAAAGAGGUGAAGUUAUAAGCAUGAACCAUUGUGACUUCCACAAGCAAACUGCAGGUCUU
rnacentral:lncRNA from 10 species